rnacentral:piRNA from 1 species
UGACAACCAUGAGUGGUUAUCCUGCUAUC